rnacentral:rRNA from 1 species
GAUCUGUCUAAUUAAUUUAGAGAACGAACGAGUCUCUCGCUAGCUAGGAUGGAUAUUGAUGAGUGAGGAGCGCGCCCGGUCUGUUUUUUCUUUCCUGCCUGCGCGCGUGUGGAUGCACAUGUGUGCGUGUGUGUGUCUUGGGUUUGGAGCCCUCGGGUAGUGCACACUCCAAGUCCGCCGCUCAUGCUGUAAGUCUUUUUAGAGGGAUCCACGGCUCGGAAGCCGUCAGAGACUGAGAGCAAUAACAGGUCUGUGAUGCCCUUAGAUGCUCUGGGCCGCACGCGCGCUACAAUGCGGGCACAGCAGGUGUUUUUCCUUCUCCGAGAGGAGUGGGUAACCCUCUGAAAGCCCUUGGCGUGCUUGGGCCUGGAGCUUGCAAUUUUUCUCCACAAACGAGGAAUGCCUAGUAGCGGUGGGUCACUGAGCCCACCGUGAUUCAGUCCCUGCCCUUUGUACACACCGCCCGUCGCUACUACCGAUUGGGUGUACCAGUGAGAGCCUUGGACUGGCGGCCGUUGCCCCUUGGCAAGCGGUUUCGACUGAAAGAGGUCCGAACUGGUGCACUUAGAGGAAGUAAAAGUCGUGCA